AUUGAACGCUGGCGGCAUGCUUUACACAUGCAAGUCGAACGGUAACAGGUUAAGCUGACGAGUGGCGAACGGGUGAGUAAUGCAUCGGAACGUGCCCGAUCGUGGGGGAUAACGCAGCGAAAGCUGCGCUAAUACCGCAUACGAUCUGAGGAUGAAAGCGGGGGACCGUAAGGCCUCGCGCGAUCGGAGCGGCCGAUGUCAGAUUAGGUAGUUGGUGGGGUAAAGGCUCACCAAGCCAACGAUCUGUAGCUGGUCUGAGAGGACGACCAGCCACACUGGGACUGAGACACGGCCCAGACUCCUACGGGAGGCAGCAGCGGGGAAUUUUGGACAAUGGGCGAGAGCCUGAUCCAGCAAUGCCGCGUGCAGGAAGAAGGCCUUCGGGUUGUAAACUGCUUUUGUACGGAGCGAAAAGGCCCUCUCUAAUACAGUGGGCUCAUGACGGUACCGUAAGAAUAAGCACCGGCUAACUACGUGCCAGCAGCCGCCGUAA
rnacentral:rRNA from 1 species